GAAUAGAAAAGCUCUGUGCCUUUGAGAUUGUAAGCUAGAUAAGCGUUUUACUUCAAUGCAGUUCUUUGGGCUAUGGAGUAUCUGAAACCCAACUAAUGAUAAAAAAGUCCUUGUAGAAAUUGUAAGUGAAAUAGCAAAUAUUUAAGGAUGCUGAAUGCCCUUUCAACUGAAUACUACUGAAUUAUUUUCAGAGACAAUUUCCUUUUUCCAUUUGGCGCAUCUAGUGUCAUUUAUUUGUGCAG
rnacentral:lncRNA from 1 species